rnacentral:rRNA from 1 species
GACGAACGCUGGCGGCGUGCUUAACACAUGCAAGUCGAACGGAAAGGCCCUGCUUUUGUUGGGUGCUCGAGUGGCGAACGGGUGAGUAACACGUGAGUAACCUGCCCUUGACUUUGGGAUAACUUCAGGAAACUGGGGCUAAUACCGGAUAGGAGCUCCUGCUGCAUGUUGGGGUUUGGAAAUUUUUGGCGGUUGGGUAUGGUCUCGCGGCUUAUCAGCUUGUUGGUGGGGUAGUGGUUUACCAAGGAUUUGACGGGUAGCCGGCCUGAGAGGGUGACCGGCGACAUUGGGACGGAGAUACGGCGCAGAAGACUACGGGAGGCAGCAGUGGGGAAGAUUGCAGAAUGGGCGGAAGAAUGAUGAAGCAACGACGCGGGCGGGAUGACGGCCUUCGGGUGGUAAAAAGCUUUCGCCGGUGAAGAAGAGUGAGUGACGGUAAUGGGUAAAGAAGCACCGGCUAACUACGUG